rnacentral:misc_RNA from 1 species
AAAGUCGUAACAAGGUUUCCGUAGGUGAACCUGCGGAAGGAUCAUCAAAUAAUACUCUUGUAUUGUGAUAAUUAUGUGGUUAUUAUGAACAUGUUCUAAUUCAUUGGAUUAGAAUCUUUUUAAACUAAUUAAUUAUAGAGAUGGAAUACGUUAUUAACAGAAAUAACUAUCAACCACGGAUCUCUAGGCUCUU